GACGAACGCUGGCGGCGUGCUUAACACAUGCAAGUCGAGCGAUGAAGCUCCUUCGGGAGUGGAUUAGCGGCGGACGGGUGAGUAACACGUGGGUAACCUGCCUCAUAGAGGGGAAUAGCCUUUCGAAAGGAAGAUUAGUACCGCAUAAGAUUGUAGCUUCGCAUGAAGCAGCAAUUAAAGGAGUAAUCCGCUAUGAGAUGGACCCGCGUCGCAUUAGCUAGUCGGUGAGGUAACGGCUCACCAAGGCGACGAUGCGUAGCCGACCUGAGAGGGUGAUCGGCCACAUUGGGACUGAGACACGGCCCAGACUCCUACGGGAGGCAGCAGUGGGGAAUAUUGCACAAUGGGGGAAACCCUGAUGCAGCAACGCCGCGUGAGUGAUGACGGUCUUCGGAUUGUAAAGCUCUGUCUUCAGGGACGAUAAUGACGGUACCUGAGGAGGAAGCCACGGCUAACUACGUGCCAGCAGCCGCGGUAAAAC
rnacentral:rRNA from 1 species